UGUCCCUACGGGGGGCAGCAGUGGGGAAUAUUGGGCAAUGGGCGCAAGCCUGACCCAGCAACGCCGCGUGAAGGAAGAAGGCUUUCGGGUUGUAAACUUCUUUUAAGAGGGAAGAGCAGAAGACGGUACCUCUUGAAUAAGCCACGGCUAAAUACGUGCCAGCAGCCGCGGUAAUACGUAUGGUGCAAGCGUUAUCCGGAUUUACUGGGUGUAAAGGGAGCGCAAGCGGCACGGCAAGCCUGAUGUGAAAUCCCGCGGCCCAACCGCGGGACUGCAUUGGGAACUACCGGGCUGGAUUGCCGGAG
rnacentral:rRNA from 1 species